UACGGAGGGAGCAAGCGUUGUUCGGAUUUACUGGGCGUAAAGGGCGCGUAGGCGGUCGUGACAAGUCAGUUGUGAAAUCUCCGGGCUUAACUCGGAAAGGUCAGCCGAUACUGCGGGGCUAGAGUGCAGAAGGGGCAACUGGAAUUCUCGGUGUAGCGGUGAAAUGCGUAGAUAUCGAGAGGAACACCUGCGGCGAAGGCGGGUUGCUGGGCUGAUACUGACGCUGAGGCGCGAAAGCCAGGGGAGCGAACGGG
rnacentral:rRNA from 1 species